rnacentral:lncRNA from 1 species
UGCUAAUUAAGAUUUUUAUUUAAUUCUAAUUCAGACUUUAAUAAUUUAAGUACAGCAAGCAGUCAUUUGACACUAAACAAUUGACACGGACUGCACAAGACCCUCAUACAUGUAGUUGGUUAAGAUCUUUUUACACACCCUGGACAUGCUGGUGGUAGUUAACAAUUGCAAUAUGCCAACAUAAACUUCAGAUGUGAUAUACAUGUACUGUUUUGUCAAUUUCACUAAAACUAGAAAUU